AGAGAGAGACAUGCGCGCAUAUCAAUAAGCGGAGGAAAAGAAACUAACUAAGGAUUCCCUCAGUAACGGCGAGUGAAGCGGGAAGAGCUCAAAUUUGAAAUCUUCAAGGGUUCUACCUUUACGAAUUGUAGUUUAAAGAAGUGUUUUCUGUUGAGGUUUUGGUAAAAGUUCUUUGGAAUAGGACAUCAUAGAGGGUGAGAAUCCCGUAUUUGACCUUUACUUUCAACUUUGUGAUACACUUUCAAAGAGUCGGAUUGUUUGGGAAUGCAGUCCAAAAUGGGUGGUAAAUUUCAUCUAAAGCUAAAUAUUGGCGAGAGACCGAUAGCGAACAAGUACCGUGAGGGAAAGAUGAAAAGAACUUUGAAAAGAGAGUUAAACAGUACGUGAAAUUGUCAAAAGGGAAGCGUUUGACACCAGUGUUGUUUUUCUGAAAAUCAAUUAAAGAACUGUUUAUGCUAAGUUGUUUAGACUUUAUCAGCUAACUGUUUAGUUUUGAGCUUUUCUUUAAUGCACUUUUCAGUUAACAAGUCGACAUCAAUUUCUUUUGCUGUAAAAAAGCUUGAGGAAGGUGGCUUGAGAUUCGUCUUAAGUGUUUAUAGCCUCUUGCCUAUGCAGUCGGAGAGAUUGAGGUCUGCAGCGUAGAUCCUUCGGGGCUAAAUGCAUUUGUGCUAAGUUAUAGCAUUUUAUAGACAACUUGUUGACUAUGAUUUGUCUUGUAGCUUACUCGCUUAUGUUAUUUUACCUACGCUUAGGAUGUUGAGCGCAUGUCUCUCUCU
rnacentral:rRNA from 1 species